rnacentral:rRNA from 1 species
AGCAGCCGCGGUAAUUCCAGCUCCAAUAGCGUAUAUUAAAGUUGUUGCAGUUAAAAAGCUCGUAGUUGAAUUUCGGGGUUAGCAGGUCGGUCGUGCCAUCGGUAUGAACUGGUCUCGCUGAUCCCUCCCUCUUGACGAACUGUGAUGCCAUUAAUUUGGUGUCGCAGGGAAUCAGGACUGUUACUUUGAAAAAAUUAGAGUGUUUAAAGCAGGCUCACGCUUGAAUACAUUAGCAUGGAAUAAUGAAAUAGGACGUUUGAUCCUAUUUUGUUGGCUUCUAGGAUUGACGUAAUGAUUAAUAGGGAUAGUUGGGGGCAUUAGUAUUCAAUUGUCAGAGGUGAAAUUCUUGGAUUUAUUGAAGACUAACUACUGCGAAAGCAUUUGCCAAGGAUGUUUUCAUUAAUCAAGAACGAAAGUUAGGGGAUCGAAGACGAUCAGAUACCGUCGUAGUCUUAACCAUAAACUAUGCCGACUAGGGAUCGGAUGAUGUUAAUUUUUAAUGACUCUAA